rnacentral:rRNA from 1 species
AGAGUUUGAUCAUGGCUCAGAUUGAACGCUGGCGGCAUGCUUAAUACAUGCAAGUCGAACGGUAACAGAUUCUUCGGAAUGCUGACGAGUGGCGGACGGGUGAGUAAUACAUAGGAAUCUGCCCAUGUAGUGGGGGACAACUUGGGGAAACUCAAGCUAAUACCGCAUAAUUCCUACGGGAUAAAGAGGGCCACUGCUUGCAAGCUCUUGCUACUGGAUGAGCCUAUGUCGGAUUAGUUAGUUGGUAAGGUAAUGGCUUAUCAAGACAGCGAUCCGUAGCUGGUUUGAGAGGAUGAUCAGCCACACUGGGACUGAGACACGGCCCAGACUCCUACGGGAGGCAGCAGUAGGGAGUAUUGGACAAUGGGCGCAAGCCUGAUCCAGCAAUGCCGCGUGUGUGAAGAAGGCCUGCGGGUUGUAAAGCACUUUCAAUUGGGAAGAAAGAUUAUGAGUUAAUACCUUAUAAUAUUGACG